AAAAUGUACGUAGCGCCAGAGCCUUAACUGUUUAAGGCUGACGAGGACUAGAGUUUAUCGAAAAUUCGGCGGAUGCUCUAGAGGCUGUCACAGCCUAAGAAAGCUUACAAAACCUGAGAGUAAUCUCAGAGACAAUCGGGCUUUUAGUGAUUGAU
rnacentral:ncRNA from 2 species